CCACAACCAGGAUGCAUAGCUUAAAACUGUUUCUGGAGAUUUAAAAUGUAAAAGGAAAGUAGUUUGUUUCAAGAUUAUUUUCUUAUAGAAUGGUAAUUAUACAGAAUUAAUUAAUAUUGAGGCUGUGUUGUUAGCUCACCGAAAGGCAAACAAUCAUAGAAGACUGUAUAUCUGAGUUGGAGAAAAGUUUUGUCUGUUAUUAUCUUGUAGGCAUAGCUGCAAGAUCAGAUCCUUACUUGGCUUAUUAAAGUCUUAAUGUAGUACUGCAUGACAACAUUUCUAGAUUUUUCUUUCCCAUUGGUAGGCAAAACAAAUGAGACCCAAGUGCUCAUAGAACAUUCCAAAGAGUCAACAAAGAGAAAUGGAAAGUAUUAGAAACAUUGUGUUUGGAAGGCUGGCAUAAACGUGGGGAUUGACUCCCAGGAGCUGUCCAACAACAGUGGCUAGACUUGGUUCUGGAGUCUCCUAGUUGCAAGAAACAAGACCAUUAGGCCAUGUCCUCAGAUGGGUUAUUCAGGGUUAUUUCAGGCCACUUUGGAAAUUCACCCAGGAUGUUUCAGUUGGUGCAGAUUUCAGAUACAUCAUUGCUUCAGGUAGAAGCUAAAACUCAAAAAGUGUCAAAUG
rnacentral:lncRNA from 1 species